AACGAUGAGCAUUAGACAUUGGGCGUUGGCUCAGUGUCGCAGUUAACGCUUUAAAUGCUCCGCCUGGGUAGUACGGCCGCGAGGCUGAAACUCAAAGGAAUUGACGGGGACCCGCACAAGCACUGGAGCAUGUGGUUUAAUCCGAUACAACGCGUAAAACCUUACCAAGGCUUGACAUGUUUGGCAAGACUCGGGAAACCGAGCAGAGGUUAUCCAAACACAGGUGCUGCAUGGCCGUCGUCAGUUCGUGCUGUGAAGUGUACUCUUAAGUGCUAGAACGAACGCAACCCUCAUACUUAGUUACUACAUUUAAGGUGAGAACUCUAGGUAGACUGCCAAGGCAACUUGGAGGAAGGAGAGGAUGACGUCUGGUCGUCAUGGCCCUUAUGCCUUGGGCUACACACGUGCUACAAUGGUUAGGACAAAGGGUCGCCAACCCGCGAGGGGGAGCUAAUCCCAAAAAACUAACCCAAGUUCGGAUUGGAGUCUGCAACUCGACUCCAUGAAGUCGGAAUUGCUAGUAAUCGUGAAUCAGCAGUGUCACGGUGAAUACGUUCUCGGGUCUUGUACACACCGCCCGUCAAAUCACGAAAGUCAGUAAUGCCUAAAACUAACUUAACUAACCCGCAAGGGAAGUAGUUGACUAGGGUAGGAUU
rnacentral:rRNA from 1 species